rnacentral:tRNA from 1 species
CUAACGUUGGUGUUUAGCACUUUAAGCUUUCUACUUGACAGAGUUCCUUUUUGGAACACGUUAGA